AUAUGUGCAGGGGAGAUACCGUGAUCAUGAGGGUGGUGUUCCCAGGGUGAGGCUCCUCCAUUGCAUUUGGGGUGUGCUGACUCCUGUGAUUUCCCCAAAUGCGGGAGACUCGGCUGCAAAAUUUGUGGUAGUGGGGCACUGCAUUUGUGCUGAAUUGAU